rnacentral:rRNA from 1 species
GACGAACGCUGGCGGCGUGCUUAACACAUGCAAGUCGAACGGCAAGGCCCUGCUUUUGUGGGGUGAUCGAGUGCCGAUCGCGUGCGUGUCACGUGUGUAUCGUGCUCUUGUUUUUGGGGUAGCUUCAGGUAACUGGGGUUACUACAGGAUAGGAGCUCCUCUUGCAUGGUGGGGGUUGGAAAGUUUCGGCGGUUGGGGUUGGACUAGCGGCUUAUCAGCUUGUUGGUGGGGUAGUGGCUUACCAAGGCUUUGACGGGUAGCUGGCCUGUGAGGGUGACCGGCCACAUUGGGACUGAGAUACGGCCCAGACGCCUACGGGAGGCAGCAGUGGGGAAUAUUGCACAAUGGGCGGAAGCCGGAUGCAGCAACGCCGCGUUCGGGAUGACGGCCGUCGGGUUGUAAACCGCCUGCGCCUGUGACGAAGCGUGAGUGACGGUAAUGGGUAAAGAAGCACCGGCUAACUACGUG